GAUGAACGCUAGCUACAGGCUUAACACAUGCAAGUCGAGGGGUAACGAGAGGAAAGCUUGCUUUCCUUGUCGACGACCGGCGCACGGGUGAGUAACGCGUAUCCAACCUGCCCCCAACUAGGGAAUAACCUUGCGAAAGUAAGACUAAUACCCUAUAAUUUCCUCAGAUGACAUCUGAAGAGGAAUAAAGAUUUAUCGGUUGUGGAUGGGGAUGCGUCUGAUUAGCUUGUUGGCGGGGUAACGGCCCACCAAGGCAACGACCAGUAGGGGUUCUGAGAGGAAGGUCCCCCACAUUGGAACUGAGACACGGUCCAAACUCCUACGGGAGGCAGCAGUGAGGAAUAUUGGUCAGUGGGCGGAAGCCUGGACCAGCCAAGUAGCGUGCAGGAUGACGGCCCUAUGGGUUGUAAACUGCUUUUAUACAGGAAUAAAGUUAGCCACGUGUGGUUAUUUGUAGGUACUGUAUGAAUAAGGACCGGCUAAUUCCGUGCCAGCAGCCGCCGCAG
rnacentral:rRNA from 1 species